AAAGCAGGCGAGGUGAUCGCGAUCAGGGUCGAGGUCCAUCUGGGUGUCGCUCUUCGGAACGAUGGUCCAGACCAGCUUCGGCGCCUGGUUGAGGAAAGUCCGGGCUCCCCAAUGGCCAGGCCUGCUGGGUAACGCCCAGUGCGGGCGACCGUGAGGACAGUGCCACAGAAACACACCGCCGAUGGCAGGGGGCUUGCCCCCUGAUCAGGUAAGGGUGCAAGGGUGCGGUAAGAGCGCACCAGCAGCAUCGAGAGGUGCUGGCUCGGUAAACCCCGGCUGGGAGCAAGGCCCAGGGACAACGGUUGGCCAUGACACCCGUCCCGCUUCAAGUGCGCCGCUCGAGGCCGCCGGCAACGACGGUCCCAGACAGAUGAUCACCCCCCGCCAGCUCGCUGGUGGGAGAACAGAACCCGGCUUACGUCCUGCUUUCACC
rnacentral:RNase_P_RNA from 1 species